AACGAACGCUGGCGGCAGGCUUAACACAUGCAAGUCGAACGCAUCGCAAGAUGAGUGGCAGACGGGUGAGUAACGCGUGGGAAUCUACCCAGUUCUACGGAACAACAGUUGGAAACGACUGCUAAUACCGUAUACGCCCUACGGGGGAAAGAUUUAUCGGAAUUGGAUGAGCCCGCGUAAGAUUAGCUAGUUGGUGGGGUAAUGGCCUACCAAGGCGACGAUCUUUAGCUGGUCUGAGAGGAUGAUCAGCCACACUGGGACUGAGACACGGGCCAGACUCCUACGGGAGGCAGCAGUGGGGAAUAUUGGACAAUGGGGGCAACCCUGAUCCAGCCAUGCCGCGUGAGUGAUGAAGGCCUUAGGGUUGUAAAGCUCUUUCACCGGGGAAGAUAAUGACGGUACCCGGAGAAGAAGCCCCGGCUAACUUCGUGCCAGCCGCCGCUGUAA
rnacentral:rRNA from 1 species